rnacentral:ncRNA from 1 species
AAAAAGUGGACAAAUUUGGCUGCUUGCAACCACUUACAAAAAAAAUGCUAAAACCG